UCCAGAUAUUCGUGUGCUUGUUGGUUUUGAUCGUGGCCGUGCACGCCGGCUUCAUCGGCGGCGGCGGCGGUGGCUGGUCUGGCGGCGGCGGCGGUGGAUGGUCCGGCGGCGGCGGGGGCUGGUCGAGUGGUGGUGGUGGCGGCGGCUGGAAGUCUGGAGGCGGUGGCGGCGGCGGUUGGCGCAGCGGCGGCGGCGGCGGCCAGGUGAAGAUCAUAAAAGUCAUCAGCAGCGGCGGAGGCGGAGGCGGUUGGCGAAGCGGUGGUGGCGGCGGCGGCUGGCAGAGCGGCGGCGGCGGCGGUGGCUGGAAAUCCGGCGGCGGCGGCGGUUGGAAAUCUUGGUGAUCGCAUUCGUAGCUCCAUUAUCAACAAUACAUGAAUACCCCUCUCA